UGGAGCCUGCGGUUUAAAUUGGACUCAACGCCGGGCAGCUCACCGGAUAAGACAGCUGGAUGAUAGCCGGACUGAAGACUCUGCUUGACUAGCUGAGAGGAGGUGCAUGGCCGUCGUCAGUUCGUACUGUGAAGCAUCCUGUUAAGUCAGGCAACGAGCGAGACCCACGCCAACAGUUGCCAGCAUGUCCUCCGGGAUGAUGGGGACACUGUUGGGACCGCCUCUGCUAAAGAGGAGGAAGGAAUGGGGCAACGGUAGGUCAGCAUGCCCCGAAUUAUCCGGGCUACACGCGGGCUACAAUGGUCAGGACAAUGGGUAUCGACACCGAGAGGUGGAGGCAAUCUCCUAAACCUGUCCUUAGUUCGGAUUGUGGGCUGCAACUCGCCCACAUGAAGCUGGAAUCUGUAGUAAUCGUGUCUCAAAAUGGCACGGUGAAUAUGUCCCUGCUCCUU
rnacentral:rRNA from 1 species